CGGCUUUCUGAGGCGGCGCGAGGACGGCGAGGUGCGGCAGGGGGGCGUUUGCCUCUUUUCCUCGCUCGCCGCGCUCUAGCUCUCUUUUCCCUCUCCUCACGUCGGCAGCGAAGAUCUUCAGUUCUCAUAAAGUCAGCUUCACACUGAAAUGAAAUCAUUCAGCCUGGGCAAGAAAAACAUAAAAGUACAGUCCAAAGUAGAAGAAAAUUAAAUAUUCAUUUUGCAGUCAUAACAUCAAUCAGGUUAAUCUGCAGUUUGGAAUGCAUACAUCAUCGUACAUACCUUUUUUAGAGGACAUAAUUUUCUGAAGGAAUGUGAAGAUUACCAUAUGAAAUUUUAUGUAGAUUCAGGGACCAGGAUAGAGCUUGAGAUUAUAAUGGUGUGAAAUUCACUCUUUGUCAUUAGAAGAAAUUAAAUCCGUUUAAUUUUCAAUUCUGUGCACUUAGAGAGUGCGAGAACAACAGAAAAAGAAAUUAAAUUUUUGAGGGGUGUGGAGUAAGCUAAGAUCUUUGGAGCCACAUGAAACUCUAACAGAUUUCUACACGUGGUGUUCACAUGAAACAAGCACAGGAAUUUCAUUCAGAAAGCAUUUGAAUGAUCUUUAUCAUAUAUAUGUUGUCAACUGGCCACGAAUGAGAAUCUGGUUUGAUUGUGGUUUUACUUGCUGAGAUGGGAAAGCUAGAAGCCAACAAGCCAAAAGGGAUGAGAUGAGUGUCUAAUAUAUUGUCUGCAUUGAAGGUAUGAGGAAAAAUAGGUAUAAAGUCUUCAGCCUUGGGAUCCCUGGGUGGCGCAGCGGUUUGGCGCCUGCUUUUGGCCCAGGGUGCGAUCCUGGAGACCCGGGAUCGAAUCCCACAUCAGGCUCCGGGUGCAUGGAGCCUGCUUCUCCCUCCGC